GAUGAACGCUGGCGGCGUGCCUAAUACAUGCAAGUCGAGCGAAAAGAUGAGGAGCUUGCUCCUCUGACGUUAGCGGCGGACGGGUGAGUAACACGUGGAUAACCUACCUAUAAGACUGGGAUAACUUCGGGAAACCGGAGAUAAUACCGGAUAAUAUAUUGAACCGCAUGGUGCAAUAGUGAAAGUCGGUUUUGGUGUCACUUAUAGAUGGAUACGGGCCGCAUUAGCUGGUUGGUAAGUUACCGGCUUACCAAGGCUACGAGGCGUAUCCGACCUGAUAGGGUGGUCGGCCACAUGGGAGCGGAGACACCGUCCAGACUCCUGCGGGAGGCAGCAGUAGGGAAUCUUCCGCAAUGGGCGAAAGUCUGACGGAGCAACGCCGCGUGAGAUAUGAAGGUGUUCGGAUCGUAAAACUCUGUUAUUAGGUAAGAACAGAUGUGUAAGUAACUAUGCACGUCUUGACGGUACCUAAUCAGAAAGCCCCGGCUAACUACGUG
rnacentral:rRNA from 1 species